rnacentral:rRNA from 1 species
CGCGUCUGAUUAGCUAGUUGGAGUGGUANCGGCACACCAAGGCGACGAUCAGUAGCUGGUCUGAGAGGAUGAUCAGCCACACUGGGACUGAGACACGGCCCAGACUCCUACGGGAGGCAGCAGUGGGGAAUUUUCCGCAAUGGGCGAAAGCCUGACGGAGCAAGACCGCGUGCGGGAGGAAGGUCUAUUGAUUGUAAACCGCUUUUGAUAGGGAAGAAGAUCUGACGGUACCUAUCGAAUCAGCAUCGGCUAACUCCGUGCCAGCAGCCGCGGUAAUACGGGGGAUGCAAGCGUUAUCCGGAAUUAUUGGGCGUAAAGCGUCCGUAGGUGGUUUUAAAAGUCUGUUGUCAAAUCGCGAGGCUUAACCUCGUACAGGCAGUGGAAACUAUAAGACUAGAGUGCGGUAGGGGUAGAGGGAAUUUCCAGUGUAGCGGUGAAAUGCGUAGAUAUUGGAAAGAACACCGGUGGCGAAGGCGCUCUACUGGGCCUGCACUGACACUGAGGGACGAAAGCUAGGGGAGCGAAAGGGAUUAGAUACCCCUGUAG